ACGAACGCUGGCGGCGCACCUCAUGCAUGCAAGUCGAACGAGGCUCCGGCCUAGUGGCGAACGGGUGAGUAACACGUGAGGAACCAACCCCGGAGACCGGGAUAACAGCGGGAAACCGCUGCUAAUACCGGAUGUCCCCACCGGAUCGCAUGGUCCGGCGAGGAAAUGGAUUCCGCUCCGGGACGGUCUCGCGGCCUAUCAGCUUGUUGGCGGGGGUAACGGCCCACCAAGGCGUCGACGGGUAGCUGGUCUGAGAGGACGAUCAGCCACAUUGGGACUGAGACACGGCCCAAACUCCUACGGGGGGCAGCAGCAGGGAAUCUUGCGCAAUGGGCGAAAGCCUGACGCAGUGACGCCGCGUGCGGGAUGACGGUCUUCGGAUUGUAAACCGCUUUCAGUAGGGACGAUUGUGACGGUACCUGCAGAAGAAGCUCCGGCCAACUACGUGCCAGCAGCCGCGGUAAUACGUAGGGAGCGAGCGUUGUCCGGAUUUAUUGGGCGUAAAGAGCUUGUAGGCGGUUCAGCAAGUCGGGUGUGAAAACUCUGGGCUCAACCCAGAGACGCCACCCGAUACUGCUGUGACUAGAGUCUGGUAGGGGAUCGCGGAAUACCAGGUGUAGCGGUGAAAUGCACAGAUAUCUGGUGGAACACCAGCAGCGAAGGCGGCGAUCUGGGCCAGUACUGACGCUGAGAAGCGAAAGCGUGGGGAGCGAACAGGAUUAGAUACCCUGGUAGUCCACGCCGUAAACGUUGGGCACUAGGUGUGGGGGGGCGUCAACCCCUUCCGUGCCGUAGCUAACGCAUUAAGUGCCCCGCCUGGGGAGUACGGCCGCAAGGCUAAAACUCAAAGGAAUUGACGGGGGCCCGCACAAGCGGCGGAGCAUGUUGCUUAAUUCGAUGCAACGCGAAGAACCUUACCUGGGUUUGACAUGCGGGGAAAAGCCACAGAGAUGUGGUGUCCUACGGGGCCUCGCACAGGUGGUGCAUGGCUGUCGUCAGCUCGUGUCGUGAGAUGUUGGGUUAAGUCCCGCAACGAGCGCAACCCUCGUCCUGUGUUGCCAGCGGAUAAUGCCGGGGACUCGCAGGAGACUGCCGGGGUCAACUCGGAGGAAGGUGGGGAUGACGUCAAGUCUUCAUGCCCCUUACGUCAGGGCUGCAAACAUGCUACAAUGGCCGGUACAAAGGGCUGCUAUCCCGCGAGGGGGAGCGAAUCCCAAAAAGCCGGUCUCAGUUCGGAUUGGAGUCUGCAACUCGACUCCAUGAAGUCGGAGUCGCUAGUAAUCCCGGAUCAGCAACGCCGGGGUGAAUACGUUCCCGGGCCUUGUACACACCGCCCGUCACACCACGAAAGUCGGUAACACCCGAAGCCAGUGGCCCAACCCGCAAGGGAGGGAGCUGUCGAAGGUGGGAUCGGUGAUUGGGGUG
rnacentral:rRNA from 1 species